rnacentral:rRNA from 1 species
UACGGGGGGGGUAAGCGUUGUUCGGAAUUACUGGGCGUAAAGGGCUCGUAGGCGGCCAACUAAGUCAGACGUGAAAUCCCUCAGCUUAACUGGGGAACUGCGUCUGAUACUGGAUGGCUUGGAUCCGGGAGAGGUGAGUGGAAUUUCCGGUGUAGCGGUGAAAUGCGUAGAUAUCGGAAGGAACACCAAUUGCGAAGGCAGCUCGCUGGGACGUAACUGACGCUGAGACGCGAAAGCGUGGGGAGCAAACAGG